UACGUAGGGUGCGAGCGUUGUCCGGAAUUAUUUGGGCGUAAAGAGCUCGUAGGCGGUCUGUCGCGUCGAUCGUGAAAACUUUGGGGGCUUUAACCCUGAGCUUUGCGGUCGAUACGGGGCAUGACUGGAGUUUCGGCAGGGGGAGACUGGAAUUCCUGGUGUAGCGGUGAAAUGCGCAGAUAUCAGGAGGAACACCGGUGGCGAAGGCGGGGUCUCUGGGCCGAUACUGACGCUGAGGAGCGAAAGCGUGGGGGAGCAAACAGG
rnacentral:rRNA from 1 species